GCUAAUGAAAGCAAAACUUCCCUUUCACUUCCCAGUUCCUGGAUUUUUUUCUCCCUGUGAGGCAUGUCCACAGUCUCUGAUGGUCCCAUAGCUCACUCACUUUCAGUCAUAGUUCCAUGAGCUCAAAUGACAGGUAUUUCUUUCAUUUGCCCCUAAAAUAUCUUCAUUCUGUAUAAAUACUCUCAGAAGAAAAGAACUAGAACAUAUUAUUCAAACUAUUCAUCAUUCAUUCAGUGGAAUAAUCAAGUCAAUUCACUCAUUCAUUCAUUCAUUCAUUCAUUCAUUCAUUCAUUUCGAGACAGAGUCUCACUACAUAGCCCUGGUAGGCCUGGAAAUCACCAUGUAGACCUGGCUGGUCUCAAACUCACAGAGAUCUGCCAGCCUCUGAGAUAAAUGGGCAAUGUUCAGUGACUAUUAUCCUAGUGAUGGGUCAGGCCCAGACUAUAAUCCUAGCUCUUAAAAGGCUGAGGCAGGAAUUCCCUAAUUGAAGGCCAACCUGGUCUAUAGGAUUGACACACACACAAACAUACAGAUUUAAAAAGAAAACAGUAAAAUCACACACACACACACACACACACACACACACACACACCUUCUAACCAAGUCUCUGUUCAUAUGUCACCUUCCUAAGAAGGCACACCCUGGCCACCCUUGUUGAAAUUAUGUGCGCUCCCUCACCACCACAGCAUUCCUGAUGUCUCCUCCUCCACUACCUGGUGUAUAUUUCUGAUGCCAUUUCCUCGUGCACUCUCUGUUGUCCACUGCCUGCUGUCUUUGCUGUCAGGUCAGAGAUUAUCUGUGUGGAUCACCAGACACCUGUGGCAGUCACCGCAGUAGGUAUCCAGCAGGUACCUGUGGAAUUAGUGUUGUCUGAAAGCGCCCAGAUAAACACACAGUUUCAUUUGGGCCUGAAUUAUACACAGAACAGCGAGGGAAUCGUUCUUGUCACACAAAAGGCAAAUCACAUCCUCGAGUCUUUAAAUUGUUCACAGCUAACGCUGUGUUUUACUGAUUUUAAUCAAUGGAAACUCCCAUAGUGGAGCCGCGAGCUCACUGUGUGCUCCUGGGGGGAGGGGGUUGUCAUUGUUACAUGUUUUGAGCUACAAAAGGCUUUCAGAACACUGAAAACUUGGUUAAAAAACAAAGACAGAGUAAAAACAAAAAACAAAAAACAACAAAACCUCUCCGUGGGUUUAAUUAAUGGUUACUUGCUAAGAAUAUUUGUUUCCAGGUGGAAGAGAAGGCUCGGCAGUUAAGAGCACUUGCUGUUCGUGUGGAGGACCACAUUCACGUCCGAGCACCUUCGCGACAGCUUACAAUUGCUCAUGAUUCCUUCUAGCUCUGGUGAUCCCACACCCUCUUCUGGCCUCUUUGGGCAUUGCACCCAUUUGCACAUAUAUACAUACAUGCACAUACACAUAAUUGAAAAUAAAUAUUUAUUUUAAAACGAUAUUUAUCUCUUCUGAGGCCCCAUUUUCCCCUCCAUCUUAGUGUUAACUAUAGUAAGAAUCUAACAAUCCAAAUAAGCCCACAUAAAAGACACACAAUCCAGAUAUUUUAUUUAAAAACUAUAUGCCUAGAUUGGCAGAUCUAAGACUGUACUAACUUAUUGCCCAGUUAUAAUGUCCCUUGUUACUUGCUGUUUCUCCUGGCCACACAGUUCUGGUUCAUGGUGACUUCCUUCUCUCCCCCCACCGCCACCUGUAACCCUCUUUCUCAAACCUCCAUUCCCAUCUUUCUCUCCCAGUCACAGGCUAUUUACCAGUUAAAUAUGACAUCCCCCGAGUACGUGAGGAUCUGCUCGUUGGGAACAGCCACCUCUUGAGGACCUAGUAUUUAAUACUGGAAUACAAGCAGCGUCAGACCAACCCACUACAUUAAAGCGUACAGUGUGUGUUUGCUGAAGAGUGUUGUUUCUCCAGCUUUAGGUCCUGGCUGGUUUUGUUAGGAUUGUUUGUAUUCAUGACUAAAUAUCCUUCAUUCAUGGUUCUUCGGGAGUUCACAUGCCUCCUAGUUAUUAACCUGUGUUCAUGCCCAAGAAAUAGAAUUCAGACAAUCAGUAUUUCCCUUUGUCUCUGUUUUAAUCUGGUGUCAUUUUAUAAUGAGAACACCAAGUUUUCUUCAAUUACUUUUAAUUAGGAAAAUUAUUUUAUAAAAUAACUGAAUUGUGGGUUAGACAUAAAGUUCAGUGGAAAAACAUUUGGCUAGCAUGUAUGAGGCCCUAAACCCAGUACACACACACAUGUGCACACACACACACCUAUGCCUGUCAUGUACUAUAAAGAUAGUCUUGUGUGUGUGUGUGUGUGUAUGUGUGUGAUGAGUGCUUAUAUGGUAUAUCAUGUAAUUGCUUUUGUAUGUAUUGCUGUGUGUGCACUUGUAUGUGGGGCUACACAUGCAUGUUGGGGUCAAAGUGACAUCUGCUAUCUUCCUCUUCCUUUCCACAUUAUUUUCUGAAGCAGAGUCUGCCACUGAAGCUGUACUGACCUGCCAAGCUAGGUCCCCAGGUCCUCUCCUACCUCAACUCCAUGCAGCACUGGGGUUUCAGGUGCACAUCUCUACACCCGGCUUUUCACGUGGGAGUUUCAGAUCUGAGUUUAGGUGACCAUGCUUGCGUGCUGCUUUGCCGACGGAGGUCUUUGCAGCCCGCCAGCCUUUGCUUCUUUAAUGGAAGAGAUUGCACUGAAAGACUUUUGUGUUGUUCCCAUUUCUG
rnacentral:lncRNA from 1 species